ACGAACGCUGGCGGCGUGCUUAACACAUGCAAGUCGAACGGAAAGGCCUCUUUCGGGGGGUACUCGAGUGGCGAACGGGUGAGUAACACGUGAGUAACCUGCCCUUGACUUUGGGAUAACUUCAGGAAACUGGGGCUAAUACCGGAUAGGAGCUCCUGCUGCAUGGUGGGGGUUGGAAAGUUUCGGCGGUUGGGGAUGGACUCGCGGCUUAUCAGCUUGUUGGUGGGGUAGUGGCUUACCAAGGCUUUGACGGGUAGCCGGCCUGAGAGGGUGACCGGCCACAUUGGGACUGAGAUACGGCCCAGACUCCUACGGGAGGCAGCAGUGGGGAAUAUUGCACAAUGCGUGGAAGCCUGAUGCAGCAACGCCGUGUGCGGGAUGACGGCCUUCGGGUUGUAAACCGCUUUCGCUCAUGACGAAGCUUUGUGUGACGGUAGUGGGUAAAGAAGCACCGGCUAACUACGUG
rnacentral:rRNA from 1 species